GAGUUUGAUCUUGGCUCAGAUUGAACGCUGGCGGCAGGCCUAACACAUGCAAGUCGAGCGGAUGACGGGAGCUUGCUCCUUGAUUCAGCGGCGGACGGGUGAGUAAUGCCUGGGAAUCUGCCUGGUAGUGGGGGACAACGUUUCGAAAGGAACGCUAAUACCGCAUACGUCCUACGGGAGAAAGCAGGGGACCUUCGGGCCUUGCGCUAUCAGAUGAGCCUAGGUCGGAUUAGCUAGUUGGUGGGGUAAUGGCUCACCAAGGCGACGAUCCGUAACUGGUCUGAGAGGAUGAUCAGUCACACUGGAACUGAGACACGGUCCAGACUCCUACGGGAGGCAGCAGUGGGGAAUAUUGGACAAUGGGCGAAAGCCUGAUCCAGCCAUGCCGCGUGUGUGAAGAAGGUCUUCGGAUUGUAAAGCACUUUAAGUUGGGAGGAAGGGCAGUAAGUUAAUACCUUGCUGUUUUGACGUUUACCGACAGAAUAAGCACCGGCUAACUCUGUGCCAGCAGCC
rnacentral:rRNA from 1 species